rnacentral:tRNA from 1 species
GUGGGUAUAACUCAGUGGUAGAGAACCAUACUUAGCAUUCCCAAGGUCCUGGGUUCAAUCCCCAGUACCUCCA